rnacentral:rRNA from 1 species
GUGUCAGCAGCCGCGGUAAUACGAAGGGGGCUAGCGUUGUUCGGAAUCACUGGGCGUAAAGCGCACGUAGGCGGACCAUUAAGUCAGGGGUGAAAGCCUGGAGCUCAACUCCAGAACUGCCUUUGAUACUGAUGGUCUCGAGUUCGGAAGAGGUUGGUGGAACUGCGAGUGUAGAGGUGAAAUUCGUAGAUAUUCGCAAGAACACCAGUGGCGAAGGCGGCCAACUGGUCCGAUACUGACGCUGAGGUGCGAAAGCGUGGGGAGCAAACAGGGUUAGAAACCCGGGUAGUCC